CGGGAUUGUAAAGGCACCAAUCAGCGCUCUGUCAAAACAGACCACUCCGCUCUACCAAUCAGCAGGACGUGGGUGGGGCCAGAUAAGAGAAUAAAAGCAGGCCGCCCCAGCCAGCAGUGGCAACCCUCUCCGGUCCCCUUCCACGCUGUGGACGAUUUGUUCUUUUGCUCUUUGCAAUAAGUCUUGCUACUGCUCACUCUUUGGGUCCACACUGCCUUUAUGAGCUGUAACACUCACCCCUAAGGUCUGCAGCUUCACUCCUGAAGCCAGCGAGAAGAACGAGCCCAGCGGGAGGAACGAACAACUCCAGUAUGCGCCGCCCUAAGAGCUGUAACACUCACCGCGAAGGUCUACAGCUUCACUCCUGAGCCAGCGAGACCACAAACCUACCAGAAGGGGAACACAUCUGAACAUCAGAAGGAACAAACUCGGACACGCCACCUUUAAGAACUGUAACACUCACCGCGAGGGCCCGUGGCUUCAUUCUUGAAGUCAGUGAGACCAAGAACCCACCAAUUCCAGACACAAAACUUUCAAGAUCUUUGCUUCUUAGAAAGUGAUUUGUAGACCAGCAGCCACCUACUGAAUCAGAAUCUACAUUUUAAUAAGAUCCCCAGGAAGACAACUCUGUUAUCUUUAGGAUUUCAGAUGCUUUUAGAAUCAAACCUGGAAAGGAUACAAAAAGCAGAAGCAAAACCAACAUUUGGGAGAAGAACAGAUUAAGACAGUAGCUUAUAUUGAAACAUCACUUCUCAUUUGCUGUUUGGACAAUGGUGAUGGAACUGCUGCUUUAUUGCCCACGGAGAAGCGAAGUGAAGAGUCUAAAGUGGGUCUUGCAGUUACACUGGACAAAAGAAGUUUGAAACUGAGGCUUGGUCCUGAAGAAAACAUAGAGAAGCCUGACAGAUUAUAUAUAUUCACAGCUUUGACUUAAAGGUUGCUGGUUGACCAAUAAGUAAUACAAGAAGAAAUGGUCUUUUCUGGAAUUGUCCUUCUUUCCAGGUAUCAAUGGUGAGCAGAAGAGGAGCAGGGAAUGAUGAAAGACCACACAUUCUCCAAAAGUCACUAAGCACUGUCUGCAGAUGGAACAUUCAUAUUUUCACAUAGUAUAAGUCAUAUGAUCUUUGAUCCUCCAUGUAUUGCUAUCCAGCCAUUUACUUUAGAAUGUCAGCCUUUAUACUGAUAUCACACACAUGUUGUAAAAUGUAGUGAAGAUAAACGGGUGAAGUUAAACUUACAAUGCUUUUGCUGUUAUCCAUAAAAAUGCAAUAGGUAUUGCAUAGAAUUAGUUACAAGCACAAAACUGUGAUACCCUAUAUGCCCCUGUUACAAGAAAGUUGUCAUUUUACAUUAUGGGUAUUUAUUCGAUAUUUUCAUAGUUUAAUUACUAACAAAGCAUUAAUAAUGCCAGAUUGUGCUGACAAACAUUGCAGUCUCUGAAUAGGAGAAAGAAUAUAUUCUUUGCACCAUUAUACAAUGAUUUAGAACUUUAAUAGUGUGCUGGGGAAAAAACAUGUAUCUGUAACCUGAAAUAGUUGUUUUACCUCCCUGAGUACAAAAUAUGUCACACAUUCUCUCCUAAAUGUAUUCUCUAUUUUUACCAGUCAUUUUGUUGCUAAAAUGUAAGAUAUGGGGAUGGGAUGUGGGUGAUUGUCUCCGUCCUUUUGGGCUUCUAUAACUAAAAUACCUUAGACUGGGUAAUUUAUAAACAACAGGAAUUUAUUUCUCACAGUUCUGGGGGCUGGAAAGUCCAAGAUCAAGGCUGUGGUGGGGUUUGGCUGGCGAGGGCUCCAUCCUUCUUGCUAUAUCUUCACAUGGUGGAAGGAGCAAACAAACUCCCCCAGCCCUCUUUUACAAGGGCACUAAUAUUAUUUGUGAGGGCUCCACUCUCAUGACUUAAUCACCUCCCCAAAGACCCUACUUCUUAAUACUAACACAUUGGGGAUUAAUCUUCAACAUAUGAAUUUUGGAGGAACACAAACAUUCAGACCAUAGCAAUGUUUAUUGGGGUGAAUGCUCAUUUAACUUUUCCCAGAACAAUCCCUGUUAAGUCUGCUAACCUCCUGUAGUUAAUGAUAAAAUUUCCUUCAUUUUCCGAAGUGUUCUUGUUUGGAUUAUAAAUUAUGUAAUUACCCUAAUGACAAUUAACUAGACAUUUUUUUUCUUACUGUAUAGCACCAGUAUGGGCAAUUGCAGUGGCUUUCAAACUUGACUACAACUCAGGGAGAAAUACAUUUUUCAUCAUAACGUAGUACACACACACACACACACACACACACACACACACGCACACACACACACACAUACACUAGAUAAAGCAAAAGCUUUAGGAAAUGGUACUUGGAUAUUUUCAAAUAUAUUUUAGUCUGUUUUUUAAUUAAAAAUCUCUAGUCAUGAUACAUUAAAUUGACUUAUUGACCCACAGCUUGAAAAAACACCAAUAUUUUGGAUGUGUUUUAAGGUCAUAGAACACGCCUUCUGAUUUUUUUCCUUCCCUAGGUAAUCCUAUGCAAGUUGCCAAUCUUCUCUAAACAACACUCUUCUUCAUCUAUAAAGUAAAUAUUAAUACCUACCUGAAGGUGGCAGAGAGAGUUAACUGAGAUAAUUUGGUUAAUGAGCCUGAAAUCUAGUCAACACUUACUAAAGGUAAUUUCUUCUCCUCUCUUCCGCUUCUAAACCAACAGGACACAGCUGAAGUUCACAGGUUUGUAAAAGUGAAAAAAUAUUUUUCUUAACCCCCUGACCUCUAAAGUUUGGUCAGAGUGUUUAGCCACUGAUAAAACAUCUUUAAGCACUGUUACUUCUAUGUUCAACUAAAAGAGUCACUUUUCAGUAAUUUCCGGUCAAGCCCAUCACAAUAGCACUUGCAGCUUCUCAAAAGAAAAGAAAGAAAGAGAGAGAAAGAAAGGAAGAAAGAGAAUUGAAGGAGGAAAGAAGGAAAAAAAUCAUGAUGAAGAUUUUAAAACAUGUCUUAUUGAGGGAUGGGAUGGUGAGGAAGUUGAUUAUAGUGAUGGAUGUGACAGACAGGGCCCGUACUUCUGUUUCUGUUCUCAAACUAACAGUUUUCACACAUAACCGUUUUCACACAUAACACAUUAGUAGAAUUUCUUUUGAAUAUUUGCCUUGGAAAUAAAACAAUAAUAAUAUAGCAUUUAUUAUAUUUAUUAUAUAUAGAGUGUGUGUGUGUGUGUGUCUGUGUGUGUGUGUAUCCCACAUGUCCACAUGAGAAAUAAUGAAAGAAGAUGGAGCCCAAGUAAGAGAGUCCUGAUGCCCCAUAAUGCAGAGAGACAAAGAAGUGAUGAAAUCAAGUACUCUACCUCUGGGCCGCCAGAAUCCAGGCCUGGUUCCAGAGUCCUCUGGUUUUCACCGUGUUGGGGUGGGGCCUCCCCGGGUGCACAGCUUUUCUGCACUGGUUGGCAUCUACUGAACCUUAGGUGAUCACAGCAGUGGUAAAGACAAGCCAGCUUCCGUCUUUCCAUAGUUUGUUCCCCUGUACUUCAGGAGGGAGGGGAGCCCCUCUAUGGAAUGCAAUACACACUAGGCAUCCUAUCACUAUGUAAGAACUCAUCUUGCUCCCUCAUUUCACAUUACAUCUUUGACUGUCUUGCUCAGUUGUUUCACCUUGGCUAGUUUUUACUCUUUGGCGAGUACUCUCACAACUCUCUUGUAGGCAGGAGCCCAUUUUCUUUUUCUGAGUACUCUGGACUCCUUGCAUGGUGCUUCCUGGGCAAGGGGUGCUCAACAAAUUGUGCUGAUAAUUAAGUCAUUCACUCAAAAUAUAUUUAUUAAGCACCUAGUGACCAAGACAGAAAAAAGUUACUAUUGACCUUCAAAUCACCAAAUCUAAUGAUCAUUCCUUACUGCUCAUCUUCCUCCACCAUUGCUACCUUAGAGGCCUCCCGUGCCUGCCUCCAUUUCCCAGACUUACUGCUUGAUUCUCCCUGGCAAGCUUUCCCUUCACCAUUUUUUUUUCAGCACUUGUAAGGAACUGAAUCUGUCCCCAAUAGUACACAGUUUGAGUUAGAGCCAGGACUAGAACUCAGGCCUGCAUAUAAUCAAAGAUCAGAAAACGGCCAAAUCUUGGUGUUUCUAUUCACAGGGAGGAAACCCAGAUGGGCCUACUCACAAUACAUGCUUCCAAAUGAAAGAACGUUUUUCCCCCUAAGGACAUUGUUAGGACACUGUCUAGCUAGAAGAUAUUCAGAGAAAAUUCACUCCUUUACCUGCCCUAGGGAAAUGGGAAAAUUCAAUGUUUGAGCCAUUUACCCAAAAGAGUAAUCCAUGCUGGAAAUUUUGCUGAAAGUAUUCUUUUAAAAGGCCCUUCUGUCUUUAUUAUGACGAUAAGACUGCUGAGUCUGCCCAAGCAUAUGAGGUUGCAAAGAAUAUUUCUUUUUAUUCAGACCUUGUAUUCUCUACAUGAUGAAAGGAUUCUUGGCACAUAGUUGGCAAUUACUAUCUAGGUUUUCUGCAUAACAUAGGUUUUUUAAACUAAGCUUUUAACUCAAUAGACAUCAGGCUCCAAUGAAAAUACAUGUGGCCUAACACGAGCAGAAAUAAACACAAUUCUAAUCAACUUAACUGUUGACAAAAGCAUGUGGUUUCAUUGCUUGCGGCCAAAGUUGUAAGAGUGGACUCUGAUUUCUUGCAGGAACACCCCUCAUUUAUGUGUGCAAAUAGGGUAAUUAAGUGUCCAAUUACCAGAUUUGCAUUGGCAAAUGGGGGCUUUGUGUGGGUAAAAUUCUCCAUGGUUUGGGACCAGCUGAAACUUAGGUCUUUUCUUUUUGGAUCAAUCCCCCAACAAUAACACGGGCAUGAUGAAGUUCCCUUCUUGUCCUGAUCUGAAGCCAUGGCUGAAGACUUCCCUUAUUUUGGUAAUUCAGUGAAGCGGAGAGCCAAAGUUAGGAUCUGGGGCCUUUUCUUCCUUACUGUCUACUCUGAAAAAUAAUUAAGCAUUUCAAGUAUUUUCAGACUGACUUUUUUUUUUUCCUGCUGGCUCUGUAGAAUUGAUUACUAAGGUGAAAUACUUGUAAAUAUUCCUUUUAAAAAUUUAACCAUAUGGAAGCAUUAAGUUGAAAGACACUUCAUAAAACAACUUUAUUCUUUUCU
rnacentral:lncRNA from 1 species